rnacentral:rRNA from 1 species
UUAAGCGACUAAGCGUACACGGUGGAUGCCCUGGCAGUCAGAGGCGAUGAAGGACGUGCUAAUCUGCGAAAAGCGUCGGUAAGGUGAUAUGAACCGUUAUAACCGGCGAUGUCCGAAUGGGGAAACCCAGUGCAAUUCGUUGCACUAUCGUUAACUGAAUACAUAGGUUAACGAGGCGAACCGGGGGAACUGAAACAUCUAAGUACCCCGAGGAAAAGAAAUCAACCGAGAUUCCCCCAGUAGCGGCGAGCGAACGGGGAGCAGCCCAGAGUCUGAAUCAGCUUGUGUGUUAGUGGAACGGUCUGGAAAGUCCGACGGUACAGGGUGAUAGUCCCGUACACCAAAAUGCACAGGCUGUGAACUCGAAGAGUAGGGCGGGACACGUGGUAUCCUGUCUGAAUAUGGGGGGACCAUCCUCCAAGGCUAAAUACUCCUGACUGACCGAUAGUGAACCAGUACCGUGAGGGAAAGGCGAAAAGAACCCCGGCGAGGGGAGUGAAAAAGAACCUGAAACCGUGUACGUACAAGCAGUGGGAGCACCUUCGGGUGUGACUGCGUACCUUUUGUAUAAUGGGUCAGCGACUUAUAUUCUGUAGCAAGGUUAACCGUAUAGGGGAGCCGCAGGGAAACCGAGUCUUAACUGGGCGUUAAGUUGCAGGGUAUAGACCCGAAACCCGGUGAUCUAGCCAUGGGCAGGUUGAAGGUUGGGUAACACUAACUGGAGGACCGAACCGACUAAUGUUGAAAAAUUAGCGGAUGACUUGUGGCUGGGGGUGAAAGGCCAAUCAAACCGGGAGAUAGCUGGUUCUCCCCGAAAGCUAUUUAGGUAGCGCCUCGUGAACUCAUCUUCGGGGGUAGAGCACUGUUUCGGCUAGGGGGUCAUCCCGACUUACCAACCCGAUGCAAACUACGAAUACCGAAGAAUGUUAUCACGGGAGACACACGGCGGGUGCUAACGUCCGUCGUGAAGAGGGAAACAACCCAGACCGCCAGCUAAGGUCCCAAAGUCAUGGUUAAGUGGGAAACGAUGUGGGAAGGCACAGACAGCCAGGAUGUUGGCUUAGAAGCAGCCAUCAUUUAAAGAAAGCGUAAUAGCUCACUGGUCGAGUCGGCCUGCGCGGAAGAUGUAACGGGGCUAAACCAUGCACCGAAGCUGCGGCAGCGACACUAUGUGUUGUUGGGUAGGGGAGCGUUCUGUAAGCCUGCGAAGGUGACCUGUGAGGGUUGCUGGAGGUAUCAGAAGUGCGAAUGCUGACAUAAGUAACGAUAAAGCGGGUGAAAAGCCCGCUCGCCGGAAGACCAAGGGUUCCUGUCCAACGUUAAUCGGGGCAGGGUGAGUCGACCCCUAAGGCGAGGCCGAAAGGCGUAGUCGAUGGGAAACAGGUUAAUAUUCCUGUACUUGGUGUUACUGCGAAGGGGGGACGGAGAAGGCUAUGUUAGCCGGGCGACGGUUGUCCCGGUUUAAGCAUGUAGGCUGGUUGUCCAGGCAAAUCCGGAUAAUCAAGGCUGAGGUGUGAUGACGAGGUACUACGGUGCUGAAGUAACAAAUGCCCUGCUUCCAGGAAAAGCCUCUAAGCAUCAGGUAACAUCAAAUCGUACCCCAAACCGACACAGGUGGUCAGGUAGAGAAUACCAAGGCGCUUGAGAGAACUCGGGUGAAGGAACUAGGCAAAAUGGUGCCGUAACUUCGGGAGAAGGCACGCUGGUGUGUAGGUGAAGUCCCUGCGGAUGGAGCUGAGACCAGUCGAAGAUACCAGCUGGCUGCAACUGUUUAUUAAAAACACAGCACUGUGCAAACACGAAAGUGGACGUAUACGGUGUGACGCCUGCCCGGUGCCGGAAGGUUAAUUGAUGGGGUUAUCCGUAAGGAGAAGCUCUUGAUCGAAGCCCCGGUAAACGGCGGCCGUAACUAUAACGGUCCUAAGGUAGCGAAAUUCCUUGUCGGGUAAGUUCCGACCUGCACGAAUGGCGUAAUGAUGGCCAGGCUGUCUCCACCCGAGACUCAGUGAAAUUGAACUCGCUGUGAAGAUGCAGUGUACCCGCGGCAAGACGGAAAGACCCCGUGAACCUUUACUAUAGCUUGACACUGAACAUUGAGCCUUGAUGUGUAGGAUAGGUGGGAGGCUUUGAAGCGUGGACGCCAGUCUGCGUGGAGCCAACCUUGAAAUACCACCCUUUAAUGUUUGAUGUUCUAACGUUGGCCCCUGACCGGGGUUGCGGACAGUGUCUGGUGGGUAGUUUGACUGGGGCGGUCUCCUCCCAAAGCGUAACGGAGGAGCACGAAGGUUAGCUAAUCCUGGUCGGACAUCAGGAGGUUAGUGCAAUGGCAUAAGCUAGCUUGACUGCGAGCGUGACGGCGCGAGCAGGUGCGAAAGCAGGUCAUAGUGAUCCGGUGGUUCUGAAUGGAAGGGCCAUCGCUCAACGGAUAAAAGGUACUCCGGGGAUAACAGGCUGAUACCGCCCAAGAGUUCAUAUCGACGGCGGUGUUUGGCACCUCGAUGUCGGCUCAUCACAUCCUGGGGCUGAAGUAGGUCCCAAGGGUAUGGCUGUUCGCCAUUUAAAGUGGUACGCGAGCUGGGUUUAGAACGUCGUGAGACAGUUCGGUCCCUAUCUGCCGUGGGCGCUGGAGAAUUGAGGGGGGCUGCUCCUAGUACGAGAGGACCGGAGUGGACGCAUCACUGGUGUUCGGGUUGUCAUGCCAAUGGCACUGCCCGGUAGCUAAAUGCGGAAGAGAUAAGUGCUGAAAGCAUCUAAGCACGAAACUUGCCCCGAGAUGAGUUCUCCCUGAGACUUUAAGUCUCCUGAAGGAACGUUAAAGACGAUGACGUUGAUAGGCCGGGUGUGUAAGCGCAGCGAUGCGUUGAGCUAACCGGUACUAAUGAACCGUGAGGCUUAACCUU